rnacentral:lncRNA from 1 species
GGAGCCGCCCGGGCCGAGGCCAGGUGCCCUUCCGGUCAGUCCUCCAGGAGCUGGUUGACUUCUCAGCAUCCUGAUUCUUUGGAAAGACAGUUUAAAAAGUUGUUUAGUUUCCUAGGACAUUCUCGCUGCGACUGUUGAAAGUCGGACAGCACCCGCCUUGUGCUCACCCCGCCGGGAUACACGGGGACGGUUCCUUUCCAAGGAGGCCCGGGGCCGCCUCUGCGCCGGGACAGCCUGGGAAGCCGCGCAGGCCUGGCCGACUUCCCCUUCCCAGCCCCGCUGCGCCCUGCGGGGCCCUGUCGGCGGUGGGGGCUGCGGACCCGGGAGCGCGCGGCCGCGCUGCACGUGCAGGGACCGGUAGGCGCCGGGGUCAGCGCCAGCGUUUGAUGUGCGGCGGGGAGCGGGCCGAGCCCCGGGAGGCCGCUUCGCACCUCCCAGUGUGUCCGGGUUGAGCGCGAGGUCAGGAGGGGACGCAGAGUUCACGGCGAAGACGGAUCGCGGGGGCUCGUCCCGCCCGGGUUGCGCGCAGCGGGGGCCGCGUGAUGGAUGGGCCGGGCCGGGCACCCGGGAACCCGCGAGCGCGGGGCUGGGCUCUGGGCUGCGUCCGGGGGCCCCGACUUGGUUAUUGAUCGGCCCAAGCGCAGGAGAACUGACUCUAUAAUGCAUCGCCUGACCAGGAAAAGUGUUUGCUUUUGUGGGAGCAAAAGACAACUUUCUGCCCCGCCAGAGCGUUGCUAAGUGAGCGGUAAUGACCACGCUAGAAAUUUCAUAGGGAGAGGCUAAUGGCAGGCUGACUCUAAAAGUGCUUUUAAGUGCAACUUCUGUCUAAUCCCUUGAGGGGGAAGAAAACAUCGGCGACUAAGAAAGUUCAAGUUGUACAGGACCCGGGUUUUUGGGGUCGGGGUCACUUCUGCUCUGCGUGACUUUGAAGAGGAAGACCUGCGGUUUUUUCCAGUGGAUUUUCACACGUGUUUUAAAGAGAACUCCCGGCUCCUGAAAUGAAAGGCCCGCCUGUAGGGUUUUGCUGCCUCCCCUCUGCCCACGCCCCACCCCCACAGCCUGGAUCAAAGCGAUCAGACAAAUUAUUCAGAAGUAACACAGCCCUGAAAUGUUCCUAAACGUGACUAUUUGAGGCGAUGAAUCAAGCGUGUUCCCUCCGCCCCCAACCCACCCCCAGACCGAAAAUGUGACUCUGGAAACGGACUUGCAGAGCUGGCUUCGGUUUAUAUGCGGUUCUGACCCCUGUUGACUUUAGGACAAGCCUUCCUGUUUCCAGUACUGCAGCAUCGCCAGACAGCCUCGCCAUGCAAUCGGCUUUCCAGAUACGAUUUCACUCCUCACCAAAGACACUUCUUUAGGGCGAUUUUAGGAUUCUAUCAACGCUAGUAAAGGAACUACUUAAACACGUUGAUUUGUAUCGCCUUCCCUGACUAUGAAACAUUGAAGAGUGGAAUACUACUCAUCAAUAAAAAAAAUAUAAACUCCUGAUACACCUCAUGGAUGGAUGCAUAGAUGGAUGGAUGGAUCUGAAAAACAUCGUGCUGAAUAAAAGAAGCCAGACAUGAAAGAGCUGCCACUACCAGGAGCACGCUGGCCUGCCGGCGGGAGGAACAGAUGCCAGAGGAGACCUGACUGUGUCCUCAAGGCCAUGCCCCAUCAGCCAUCCCAGCAGAGCCCACAGCCACCCACAGAGGAAUGAGGAUCCCCAUCCAGGAUCACCGGAACUGCACAACUGACUCACAAACGUGUGAAGAGUAAUGGGUAACGUGUUGAACUGUGAGCCUUUGAGCCUGGGGAGGUUUGUGAUGCAGCAGUAGCUCCCAGACCCUUGAGGCUCUUCGGCACGAAGGUGCUGAGCCAUGCACCUAUGCAAAGCCAAACUCUGCACUAGGCCUACUGGGGUGUGCAGAGAGAGAGGGCUGAACAAACUGCGGUUCCACCCAGAAGACCCAGAAGAACAUUUACGGAGGAGUCAGUGCAAGAGGCGAGAGAGCAUGCGUGAAGAGGGUGGACUCUGGAGGCUACUGCAGAGCUCUCCCCCAGGCUAUGAGGGGGCAUGAUGGUCCCAAUAGCCUGAGUCUGUGUUCAUUUCAACUGGCUACCUUGUGACGAGGAAGAUGGCCCAGGUUCCCAGUGGGAAAUCUAUGGUUAUCAUUAAGAACGCAGGGCCUGAGAUGAAACCUGGCAGGUGAAAGGCACCUGGUUUUAUGCAACCUGGUUUUGCAGAAGCCUGUGGGAGGGGGCCCAGGGGGGAAGGGAGCAGAGGGCAGUGUUGGCUCUGGUUCCCCCACCAGGCAGGUGGGCUAGCACCUGGGUAAGGGGCUUUGCAUCUGGAGCUGGUCAUGCCUCAGUCCAGAUCCUGCCUUUAUCAGUUGAUGGGCUGUUACCUGCCAGUGGUUAUGGUGAGGACUAAAUUACGGAAAGUCAUCAAGGAUCUUCAUUCAUUGCCCACCACAGAGCAGGCACUCAAUGGAGAACACUCACCACCAUCUAUGUUGUUAAUGUUGCAUCUGCAGCCCUUGGUUUCCUGGAAAGACUCUACAGUACAGGGGCAGGUUAGGGGCCACAACCAGGAAACAAGACACAUCUGAGAGAAUGCAUGGGAGCUUAUGGAAGGAUGUACAAGGCUGGGUGUGGGAAUCCCGGCACUUCGGGAGGCUAAGGUGGAAGGAUCACUUGCAUCCAGGAUUCAAGCCUAGCCUGGCCACGUAGUGAGACCCCAGCUCUACAAAAAAUCAAAAAUCAACUGGGCAUGGUGGCAUGUGCCUCUAAUCCAAGCUACUCAGGAAGCAGAGAUGGGAGGAUCGCUUGAGCCCAGGAGGUUGAGGCUGCAGUGAGCUGAGAUCAUACCACUGCACUCAUUCUGGGCAACAGAGUGAAACCCUGUCUCAAAAAUAUAAAUAAAUAAAUAAAUAAAUAAAUAAAUAAAGAAAGAAAGAAAGAAAGAAAGAAUUUACAAGAGGGGAGUUUUAGUGGUUGAAAAAUCAUUCACUCAUUCCAGGAGCAAGAGCCUUGUGGGUUUUCUUCCUGUUCUUGCCUGGGUUAUCUCUACUGAACCAAAGAAUCCUUGUUAGGAAUGCUCUGGUGGUGUCAAUCAAUGCGUUUAUAAAUCAUUUGCUUUUACCAUGGAAAAAGAUAUCACAAAACAACACAGCUGUAGUGCAGGUGCAGAUGACCAUGGAACGGCAGCCUGGCGUUUUCAGUAGAGCACUGGGCAGCAGAGUCCCUGGGCCUCGGAACCCCGGCCUGUUACCACCCAACACCAUCCCUGGGCAAAAUGCGAAACUCCCAUCAGAUCCAUGAAUGGAAAAUGGGCGUAAUUAUAAUUGCACCCCACUCUCUACCUCUCAGCUAAGGUGAGAAAUGAAUAUGAGGAUGCUCAGUGAAAAUGCUUUGAAGUCUGUGAAAUGCGAAGCAAAUGUGAAGCGAGAGGAAUAAUAAGGUUCUAAGGACCCACACUUGGGCGUUUGCUCUGAGCUGGCCCCUGUCCUCCACACUGAACCUACAGCCUCUCCUCUCACCUAAUCUGCACAAAAAUCUUACGAAGCAGACACACUUACCAUGCUGGCCUUUCCGUGAAAUUUCAGGUCUUAGUGUCGCCCAUUACUGGUGGCAUUUCAUGCCACAAGUUGGGCCAUCUGCACCUCCAAGCACAGGGUCACAGAAGACUUUAUCCCGUCCCUUGGGCUGACUGAAUGGUUGGUUUGUGUCAACCCCUGUUGUCCCUUUGAGCAACUCGGGGGCAAUGGUUAUGGGUAGGGCUUAAAAAACCGUCUGGCUGCAAACCCAGUGCUGAUACGAACAAGGCCUAGUCAGGCACUAAGUGUUUUGUGUUCCCCAAAGAGAUCUUAAUGAAAUCCCAGCAUGCCACUCACUCCUACACUUAAAAUACCUUUUAAGUGUAGGAAAGAAAGUGCUUUCAACCCCACCCCAGCCAUUUGGAUUCGGAGACUCCAUUUAAGAUGCACAGCUUUCCUCCAGCACAGGGGCUGGGUAUCCAAACGCAGAGCCUCCCCCAGACUCUCUCUAGGCUUAGCCUGGCUUGGUGGGCUCAGGAGGGAUUCAAGAUUAUUUCAUCCUUUAUGUCCAUUCGAUGACAGUUUAUCAUCAUUGCCACCUCAUACUCUAUUGUAGCCAAACAUCAUAACCAGCACCAUGUGAACUACGUCACUGACGCCACAUUCUUUUUCUCGGCUGUCACUAGGCUCAGGUCAGGACAGCCCUCCCGGCUGACUUCCGCGAUACUUUCUGUAUCUCCUUUUCAGUCUGCCCUAAAAUGACAGCUGGACUUCCGACAGUGGUUUCUUAUGUGGGACACAUGGCUCUUAUACUCUGGGUGGCACGGAUUCCUUUAUUGCCAGUGGCUUAAUUUUCCCAGAUCUAUUUCCAUGCAGACAGUGUGAGGUUGGACUUCAUGCCUCAUGCUCCUGAUUGGGGCUCGGAAGUCUAACCCAGCUUCCUGCAGUGCCGCCCCCAGCUUAUUCAAUGCCCAACCUGCAGGUCCUAAGUUGAACCCGCACACUGCACGCUCACCUGGUCUGUGCUGCCAGCUGCAUUGGAAAUGGAAGCAUUAAACACCGUUCUCCACUGUCAGCCACCUGCUAGCUAAUGAGUGACAUCAUUUAACACUGUUUUGAAAAGAGAGAUUUAAAGUUGUUUUGAAAACUGAAGGAAAAAUACAAAUGUUUGAGUGUUAAACAUUUUGCCCAAAUACUAAAAUGUGAAUGUCUUUUUAUUGUGACAGUUCACAGGAAAGCGGGCUAUAGCAUGCCUGUGCUUGUCAAUGAAAAUCUUAGCACUGAGUUUGGUAAACAUUCUGGCAGUCGGGAAGCCACUUAAAAAUAAAGUUUAAAGAAAAGAAAGAGAAGUGUUCACUUUCCUUCUAAUUUUCCCAGAUACGCUCAAUAUUCUGCUUUAUUUUUUAGUAUUUUAACUAAAAUAAGAAAACUCGGAUUCUACCUCUAUGUGUCCUAUGAUUGUUGUUGUUUUCUCUGAUUAUAAAAUACAGGUUUGCAGCAGAAAACUUGGCAAAACAGAGAUAUGAAGAAUAAAAUAAAAAUCACCUGUAGUUCUAAGCCAUGAGAAUAAUCAUAUAUAUAUUCCCUAGGUAUUCUGAAGCAUAUGUAUUACAGUCCAAAUAUUUAAAAACAAAAUUUGGGUAAUACUUUAGAUAGAGAGUUGUAUUCUGAUUUUUUCUAUUAAUAUUAUAACUUUGAAACGAGGGACUUCACCAUUGCUUUUAUUUUUCUUUGCUAUGUAAGUACUUAUGUUCUUUAUGAGGAAAAUAAAAACUAUAGAAAAGAAAGAUAAGAAAAUAAAAUCAGUAAUAAUCCCCUCACUUACAAAUGACUGCUGUUAACAUUUUAGUUUUUUGGUUUCUAUCUAUUUAUGUGAAAUUUGAAUGAAAAUAGUAUAAUUUCGCUGUCUCUAUAUUGCUUGGUAACAUAAUGAUUUAACUGUAUAAUAAAUAGUAUAUUACAUGAAUAUUUUGAGUAAUAGUCUGUGUGAUAAUUUUUAUUCGGUGUGUGGUGUUCCACUACAUAAAUGUAUUAUAGUUUAUUUCACAAAUAAACUCUUAUCAGAAACUUAUGUUGUCGUUAAUCUGUGAUUUAUAAUGAAGCUAUAAACAUAACUUUUAGCUAAAUAUUUAUGGAUACCCUUCAUUAUUUAUUUCCUAAAUAGUAGAAGUAGAAUUUUAUGGUCAAAUGAUAAAGACAUGAUUUUCUUACAUUCAGGAGAUAUUCUAUUAUAUGGCUCUACCAUAAUUUAUUUAUUUAUU